UUCCCAGGUUUUGUAAUUACAGGUUAUUCAUUUGGUUUUCAUUCUUUCAGCAAGGUCUGAGAUGUCGGUGUCGUAUGUUUUCUGCCUGAUCUACACAGAUUACUUCCUCAUCUUCAUUUAUUCUUUUAAAGAUAUAUCACUUGAACUUCACCCUGUGACUUUCUUGCCUGAUAUCAAUCAGGAAAAUAUUUAAAAAUUAAAGAAUUAAGUAUUUUUCAAUAAUGGUAACUCUUUUGCAAGAGAUGAAAAGAUUUAAAACCCUGCAAACUUGUCACCAAAUGACAGAAACUCUGAAUUCUGAAAGUUGUACACACAUGCAGCCUGGCCUGCGUUCAAUGUCUUGACUGCCAUGAAACUAGAAAACUAGAAACAUUAAUUAACAGAAAAAAUUUGUAGUCUAGCUCUGAAAAAAAAAAAAAAAAAAGAUAAAUACUACACAGCUCUCAUUUAUGAGAGCAUUCUUAUUUUCCAGAAGACAUCAGUUUAAUUCUCCAGAUACUCAGUAUAGCCAGUAACUUUUGUUCUCCCCCCACAUAAUACUGCACAGGAGAGUGUCUCUUUAAAUUCAUUUAUAAAAUAAUUCAGGACUGUGGGUGUCUUUGAUCUGUUCCUCUCUGCUAAAGUACAGAGGAGAAGAACAUGUCGCUUAGCAACCCCGCUUAGCCAGCACUGGGGGAGACAGGAGGGAUGGAUGGUCCAGAGCCACAAAAGGGGAGGAUUAAGCCCUGUCAGGAAACUAAACUUCGGGCAAAACUAAAGCAAGCGAAUAAACAAACAUUUGCAGAAUUGGGUAAUCUCACUGUUUCCUUUUUUUUUUUUAUACCCCACUUCUGGUCUAUUAAUAGCAAUCUUCCUCCCAAAUGAGAAAAUCCGGCAUGGGAUGGACGACGCAGGCUUCAACAGCGUCAGGCUGGGUUUCAGCUGGAGGGAACCUGAAGUUUAAUUUUAAACCAGUUCAAGAGAUUUUAAAUAGAAUUAGUGUUGUCAAGACUAAUCGUAACUAAUUUCAUACUGCAGUUUUCCUCUUAACACUUCGAAUAAAUUUUGUGUGAGUCUCACCCUGUUGUUGGGCAGACCAAACGUCCCCAGCCUGGCUUAUCCAGGGUCACUUACUUUGUCAUAAAUAAACCCCAGAUUCUCUGAGCAGUUACCAGGCUGUGAUUUGCUGGUAACUAGGUAACAUCUUAGUGGCUGCAAAAAAAAUACCCGUUAGGAAAGUAACUUUGCACUGAAGGUGAGCCCUCAGCCAACCUCUGCCCUUCCUCAGCUGCAGGACAGCGACGUCCUGCAGAGCUGUGACAGGAAGGGGCACCAGCUCAAACCCUCCUCCUCUUGCCCUUGCUGACCAGUGUCAGCCUAGAGCAGCCCUGAUUUAUUUUUUUCUCGAACAUCAAACCCCAGAGCUCUGCAUGAAUCAGUUAUGGAAGAGAAAACGGUGCAAAAAACCUGUGUCAGAGAAAGAAUGGCAGAACUAGCCCACUUCAACAUCUCACACAGAUGAAAAAUAGCUCAGAAUUAAAUACAGGUAAAUUGUUAUACCUCGUCUUCUAUCAUAAAGAUUGCUUAAAAUCUUAAUUUUCAUCCCAUUGUCAUGUUCUAUUCACCUAUAAUUUAUUACUGAACAGUUAAGCCCUAAUGGUUUACGUCUCUCCUAGAGCCCAGUGCAGGCAAUCCUGUGCUCAAACUCUAGUAAAACUGCAGAUUGUUAAACUGAGUGCCUCGCUCCAUCCACAGGUUGGAAGCUUGUCUAAACUGGCCUCUGCUGCAUAUUCCAACAAUUACAAACAUACCUGAAACCAGACAUGGUUUGACUCUGGAGUAACCUUGUUUUCAUCUGGUAAGGGAAGUGGUAAGUGCUAGCAUGGAGCUCACUCAGAGCUAAGCUCUUAGAACAGUGUACUGAAGAACUUAGAGCAUAAGUGACAAGAUAAUUUUUUAUUUCCCAUAUGUAGCAAAGAUCUGUAGGGCAGAACUCAGUCUUCAAUGAGAAUUUUACUGGUUACUGCAGGAGAGCCUGGAUUUUACCCAGGAUUUCUGAGUGUGCUUUUUGUACUGGCAAAUGCUCAUGUAAUGUGAUUCUUUGGAGAAAUUUAAUUGAAGAGAAAUGUGUAAGGCACUUGGCAUUAAGUGGUCUAAGUUUGUUAACGUAGAGUAUGGAGAAUGAAGCCCAAAUUAGAAGCAAAUAACACUAACUAACUGUGAGCAUUUCCAUAAAAAUUACUUUAGGGUGAAGCUUGGAUUCUUGUAACACAUGUUUUCUCUAUGCUUUCACUUUAAUGAUCCAAACAAAUUUAGAAGCUUUAUUUGAAAUGUCACAAGCUGAAGCAAACCCCAUUGACUUGACUUUGUCUUUUCUCUCAAUUACACCAGGGUCAACAACUCUUUACUGUAACUCAAUACUGAAAAAGUAUUUUUGCUGACUGCCCAAAUCGAGGGGGAGGAGGAGUCCAGAAACAGAAGAAUUCUUUUACUUGUGCUUGUGUUCACAGUACCAGUUCAUACACCUGGUGGUUUUUAUUUUUAGGAAACAGAAAUACGUAAUACCCGUAAGGCCAAGAUGAUCUUUGUUGGAGGUUCUUAUUACAAACACUUUAUGUGAUUCCUCCAACAGAUACAGAACAUCUCCAGCUUCUUGAGCAGACUUCGUCAGGCUCAUAGUCUUGAGGAACAUGUUUUGGACUACACUGAUUUAAAAACCUGUUCAAUUAACAUAGCUUUCUGGUUAUGGCAUCCAGGUUCCCAGAUCAGGAUGAUACAUGAAAAAAAGCAUGCAGAUAAGGCAUCGUUUGCCCCAACAUGUCAUCAGAAACUGACUUCCUAAAGAUUUCCUAAUUGUGCCAUGUUACUUUGUAUGGUAGCUGCCUCUGCUGUACCAGGACAAAAUAUACACUUAGGCCUUUGGGCAUGAGAGGUGAGUCGUUUCCAUUCCCCAUCCCACUAGAAAAUCAACAAAAGCAAGCCUUUAAUAGUAUGAAUUCCAUUAUGGCCCAGCUUGGCAAGCACCUAAAUCCUGCAAGUGCUAUGAUUUAUCUUUGAACUCGUUAGUAGCACAGCAUAAUUAACAAGUAAGCUGUAGGAACAUGCCGUCGCUCUGUAUUUACACGGCAUUUGCUGUGCAGUUGUGGUAUAAUUACAGAGAUUAUACCUGCUCUCUAGAAUAAGAGUACAUGUUGUACCUCAUUUUGUGCCAUUUCACACCAGUGGAGCAGAGCACAGCGUGGUGGAGUUGAACAAGUAUUUCAUUCUGCUGUAGGUAGACGGGUGUGGAUCUGCACAGAGUGCUGCUAUUCAAACCUGCACUGUGGUUUCAGGCAGCUUGGGGUGGCAACCUGGCUUCUGGAGCUCAAGUGAUUUAUAUUUUGGACUGCUGCCCUUUCAGUGAUGUCAGUGCACUUGAAUAUGCAGAUUUAAAAACAGGCAGGCUAGCAUUUGGGUUUUUUCAGUAUAGCAACCUUCCUCUCUCAUCCAUAGUAUUGUAGGUUUCUAUAGUAAUUACAGGAAAUGCAUGGCAAGAAUGUAUCUUCUUACAAAGAUUUCAGUUUUUAGAUUUGUUUUAUGCCAGCACAUCCCCAUUUCUCUGCCCUAAAACCCCAUUGGUAUCACCGUACCAAAUGUGAAGUCACAUCACGUAGGCACUGGGAAAAAAAUACAAGCAAAUGAUGAAAAGUGCAAAGAAACAUGCUGUGCCUCUGAGUUGGUCACAUUUUAUGUGAUUCAGCGUAAACUGUUUUCCUGUUUUCAUAGUGGACAGCAAGAGACAAUGGAAGAGAUGCCCAUCCGUGUCCCAGUUACGGUCACAAGCAUCAUAAUCCAUGAUUUUCAUGACUUUUCCAUUUCCAUUUUCCUACAACCAUCACAGAGUUCUGGGCUGGCAGCUGCAGCAGCCAUUUACAGUAGCUGAAAUACCAGCAGAGCGUUUCCCCUGCACACCACCCAGAGGCAAGGCCUGUAUUUUACAAAUGCCUUCAAAGCAAACAUUUCAGGCCAACUGUGAGACUUGGGAUUGAAAUUCAGACUCUGGAGUACGACGGCACUUUGUGCCUGAGUUGACUUUUACCUCCUUUUCCAUGUUGUCAGAGUCACUCCAAUGCUUUUCUUUGUGAGAGGGCACACGGUAACAACCCCUGAAUCCUCCUGAACAGUGCAAUCAUUCUUUUAAACUUUUAUCUUAAAAGACAGUCUUUUACAGUCUGAGAAGGGCAGUUUCCCCCAUCUAAAAAAAUGGAGAAAUGGGAGCUUUGCACUGACUCCAGCACGGUCCAGGUCGGACUCUUCAGCUUGGGUUUAGAUACACCCUUGUUUUUCAUUCAAGUGUAACAAUAACCAAGAGAAUCCUGCCAGUAUUUCUGGGAAUGAGGUAAUUUUUAAAUGGUGAAAUUGUGCAUCAUUUCAGUCAUAAUUUGGAACCCAACCACUUCAUCUGCCAUUGAAAGCCUCAUCUCUCACAAGGGAUGUUUUAUGAGACAGAAAUUGUAAUGACGGGAUGAGACAAAAGCUCUGGCGAGGAGCAGACUUGAGUCACAAAGUGGUAAAAUCUGUAGGGUUGGAAAGCUGAUCCUCUAGUUAGAAUGGAAAUUUACAGCUGCACGUGAACUGCAGGCAUCUCUGUGAGUGUGUGUCCCCAGGUCUUAAAUAAUGUUCAGUGAAAUGUGAUUUCUGCAUGAAUUUUCUGUGUUCAGAAGCAGGAUUGUUCUCGGGGAGAAUACUCAAAACCGGCUCUUUUGAUGUUUUGUUCACAGAAACAGACACAUCGUGCAAGUUCACAUAUACAGGGAAUGGAAUUGGGACUGAUGUUUGAAGACUUCUCCCAACAAAGCCCUCCCAAAUGAUUUA